rnacentral:lncRNA from 1 species
GAGAGAGAAUACAAAAACGUAGAGAGAGAAAGGAUAAUGCAAAUAAAGAGAGAAGAGAGUGACUGAGAGAGAAAGAAACAGAGCCGGCGACGACGGAAAGAAUAACUCCGGUGUUUGUUGCAGGUUUGAUAACGUUGUUUCGUCGACGCCAUCAUCACCACUCAAUUUAAAAACACAAUCCAGCAUUAAACAACACAAUCAAUUACAAAGCCAAGAAGCCAACACAACCCUCAAGUCCCAGAUUCAGACGAGGAUUCCGGCUGCAGAUGAUGAUUCCGGCAUCAGAACUCGUCGCGUCGCACCUGAAGGUUCAGUGAGGGAGACGCUCUCUCCUCUCAUAGACUCAUACCUUAGCCUAAGAAGCCAACACAACCCACAAGUUCGGCAGCCACAUCGUCCCCGACGACUUCACUUGGACCAUGGAAGACGAUUUCCGACUCACAAAGGCCGCCGAGGUUUAAUGUGAUCAGUGAGGUUUGAAUGGAAUUGAAUUGUUUGGAUCAUAUAUGUAUCAGGUUCUGAUCUAUUGUAAUCUGUGCUGGUUGUGUU